rnacentral:rRNA from 1 species
CCUACGGGUGGCAGCAGUGAGGAAUAUUGGUCAAUGGACGCAAGUCUGAACCAGCCAUGCCGCGUGCAGGAAGACGGCUCUAUGCGUUGUAAACUGCUUUUGUACGAGGGUAAACGCAGGUACGCGUAUCUGUCUGAAAGUAUCGUACGAAUAAGGAUCGGCUAACUCCGUGCCAGCAGCCGCGGUAAUACGGAGGAUUCAAGCGUUAUCCGGAUUUAUUGGGUUUAAAGGGUGCGUAGGCGGUCGGAUAAGUUAGAGGUGAAAUCCCGAGGCUCAACUUCGGAAUUGCCUCUGAUACUGUUCGUCUAGAGAGUAGUAGCGGUAGGCGGAAUGUAUGGUGUAGCGGUGAAAUGCUUAGAGAUCAUACAGAACACCGAUUGCGAAGGCAGCUUACCAAGCUACUUCUGACGUUGAGGCACGAAAGCGUGGGGAGCAAACAGGAUUAGAUACCCUUGUAGUC